rnacentral:lncRNA from 1 species
AGCUCGCGGCUCUCCUGCUGCGAGGUCGGCGUCGCUGAGAACGCGACGGCGGCGCGCGGCACCCGGUAGGGCUCGGAAAAGGGAUUAACAGUACCAACUCGGCAGCGGGCGUAGUGUCAGCCCCGGGUACGGAGCAUGAAUGCACAGCAAACAACACAUUGAUUGGUGGUGAUGGGCAGUUACUUCUCUCCGUGAGAAGCCGCAAUAUCAUUCUGAGAGAGACGGUGAUGGGCCGAGCUCAACACAGUACCCACGAGGGGGAAAUGUCCGCCAGCUUCAGGCUAGCCGCAGGCCAACUCUUCCACCCUUGUCCCCAGUGCCCGACCACCGCAGCCCUCUAUGCAAAUGCCGUCACUACUACAGGACCAGGAGAAAGACAGCUGACGACAGAGGACUGAGGACCUGGGCACCACCACUUACCGACCACUUCGUCGUCUGGCUGAAAGAACGUUACCUUCCUGCCAACUAAAGAGCAGAAAUAGGCUACAGAUAAGGAAAACGAAGUAAAAUGGCCUCAUAAUCAAUUCAUCCUUUGGUACCAAGAUAGGUACACACGGACAGCUCUCAGACGGAAUCCUAGCUGCAUAGAGUGCUCAUCCUGCCAAAUCAGCCCAGGCUCUGCUCACUAGUGAUUCCACACACUAGCAAUUCCACACGGUUUCUGUUAGCCUACAAUCCCAGCACCACCGAGGUGGGCAGGGGUGUCAAGAUCUUAUGUUAAGGCCAGUCUGAGGAUUUAUGGAUUCUGUCUUAAAGAAAAGCAGACACCAUUGUUUUCCUCGGUCCCAGGUCUCACUGUGUGGCCCUUUCUUACUUGGAACUUGCCGUGUGGAACAGACCUGCCUCAGCCUCUCAGAAGCUAGUGCCUCCUGGGUAAUGGGUUUAAAGGGACAUUUUCCUGGAACCAAAUAACAGAAGCUCGAGUUACACAUCCCAAGAGGACAUUGGUUCAUCUUGUGAGAAUGUCCACAUACAACUGAAAACAUGAAACUGACGCCAAGUCUCGAGAGCAUCCUGAGUUUAAAAGACACAAAGAAAUACCUAACAGUACAUGAUGAGAAAAGGAGAAAGAAAAAUCAGGGGCUGUAAUUUUUAAAAGUGUUCGUAUCUUUAUUUUAGAAGCACUCAAAACACCAGCAGAGAUGCCAUACACACAAACUCUGCUUCAUAAGCCAGGAAGGCAGACACAGUAUUUUAACUUAAAUACUCCAAGCUGCCAAGACUUUACAGUACACACAACAGACAGAUUUUACUAAAAUUUGGAAUUUCCAUAAGGUGACCAAGGCAAGACUGAAGCAUUCAGAGCCGUCCGGCUAAGUGAUGUGACGUCACUUCUGUAGUCCAGACCGUGAACUGACACAUGUCCCUGAGUGACGUGAGGAAAGACCCUGCACGGCUCGUGACCCAUCACAGGGACCUCUGUGCUUUUUUCGCCACUCAGCAUCCGGGGCACACUUUUACUGCAUCUCCAAUUUUCUCUUUAGUGACAAGGAUGAAGGCAUUAGUACUGAUGAACUUGUUAAUUAGACCUAGAGACGAGUUUUACUGGGAUGUAGCCAAGCCUAGGUUCUUUUGCUGACUGUGGCUGGAGGUUAGCUGACUGCAGCUGAGACCCCAGCCCCUGCUUUCAUCCUGAAACCCACAGGGAGAUGAUCUGGCUUGAUGCAAACCUUUCUAACAAUCACCACUAAGUCAUUAAAAGCUUAAUGAGACCA